rnacentral:rRNA from 1 species
UACGUAGGGUGCAAGCGUUGUCCGGAAUUAUUGGGCGUAAAGAGCUUGUAGGCGGUUUGUCGCGUCUGCUGUGAAAUUUCGGGGCUCAACCCCGAACCUUGCAGUGGGUACGGGCAGACUAGAGUGUGGUAGGGGAGACUGGAAUUCCUGGUGUAGCGGUGAAAUGCGCAGAUAUCAGGAGGAACACCGGUGGCGAAGGCGGGUCUCUGGGCCGAUACUGACGCUGAGGAGCGAAAGCGUGGGGAGCGAACA